rnacentral:rRNA from 1 species
UCAGUGAUCAUCGAAUCUUUGAACGCAUCUUGCGGCCUUUUGGUAUUCCAAAAGGCACACCUGUUKGAGUGUCAUGA